rnacentral:lncRNA from 1 species
CCAGAAAAGAAGCGAUCCAUGGAUUUGUUAUGAAAAGAGGUCUAGACGGAGACAGGUUUGUGCAGAAUGCACUGAUGGAUAUGUAUUCGAGGCUAGGGAAGAUCGAUAUCGCCGAGAUGAUAUUCUGUAAAAUGGAAGAUAGAGAUUUAGUUACAUGGAACACGAUGAUUACGGGUUAUGUAUUCUCAGAAUGUCAUGAGGAUGCGCUUCUUGUGCUACACAAGAUGCAAAACAUUGAAAGAAAGGUGGGGGAGGGUGUUAGCCGAGUUGGUCUGAAACCUAAUUCCAUCACUCUUAUGACAAUCCUCCCCAGUUGUGCUGCACUAUCAGCAUUAGCAAAGGGAAAAGAAAUCCAUGCUUACGCUAUCAAGAACAAUUUGGCAACCGAUGUGGCUGUAGGAAGCGCUUUAGUUGACAUGUACGCAAAAUGCGGGUGCCUACACAUG